UAACAGGCUGCCCGGGGCUGAGCCCAGGC
rnacentral:piRNA from 1 species